rnacentral:rRNA from 1 species
GACGAACGCUGGCGGCGUGCUUAACACAUGCAAGUCGAACGGAAAGGCCUAGCUUGCUGGGUACUCGAGUGGCGAACGGGUGAGUAACACGUGGGUGAUCUGCCCCUGACUUUGGGAUAAGCCUGGGAAACUGGGUCUAAUACCGGAUAUUCAUUUUUCCUCGCAUGGGGAUUUGUGGAAAGCUUUUGCGGUUGGGGAUGGGCCCGCGGCCUAUCAGCUUGUUGGUGGGGUAAUGGCCUACCAAGGCGACGACGGGUAGCCGACCUGAGAGGGUGAUCGGCCACACUGGGACUGAGACACGGCCCAGACUCCUACGGGAGGCAGCAGUGGGGAAUAUUGCACAAUGGGCGCAAGCCGGAUGCAGCGACGCCGCGUGAGGGAUGACGGCCUUCGGGUUGUAAACCUCUUUCAGCUCCGACGAAGCGCAAGUGACGGUAGGAGCAGAAGAAGCACCGGCCAACUACGU